rnacentral:rRNA from 1 species
UACGUAGGGGGCAAGCGUUGUCCGGAAUCACUGGGCGUAAAGCGCGCGCAGGCGGCUAAUUGCGUCCGGGGUGAAAGCCCGAAGCUCAACUUCGGGAUUGCCUUGGAUACGGGUUAGCUUGAGGAUCGGGGAGGCAGGGGGAAUUCCACGUGUAGCGGUGAAAUGCGUAGAGAUGUGGAGGAACACCUGUGGCGAAGGCGCCUUGCUGGCCGAUUUCUGACGCUGAGGCGCGAAAGCGUGGGGAGCAAACAGG